rnacentral:rRNA from 1 species
UGGGGAAUAUUGGGCAAUGGGCGAAAGCCUGACCCAGCAACGCCGCGUGAAGGAAGAAGGUUUUCGGAUUGUAAACUUCUGUCCUCAGGGAAGAAGGACGUGACGGUACCUGAGGAGGAAGCCCCGGCUAACUACGUGCCAGCAGCCGCGGUAAUACGUAGGGGGCGAGCGUUGUCCGGAAUGACUGGGCGUAAAGGGCGCGUAGACGGCUGUCUAAGUCUGGAGUGAAAGUCCUGUUUUCAAGGCGGGAAUUGCUUUGGAGACUGGAUGGCUUGAGUGCGGAAGAGGUAAGGGGAAGUCCCAGUGUAGCGGUGAAAUGCGUAGAGAUUGGGAGGAACACCAGUGGCGAAGGCGACUUACUGGGCCGUAACUGACGUUGAAGCGCGAAAGCGUGGGGAGCGAACAG